UGCUCAGCCUGGGCCUUGGGAAGCAGCAUCAGGGGAGCUUCCAACAUGGUCUGGAUCCCUCUCCUCCUCAGCCUCCUGACUCACUGCACAGGUUCUGUGGCCUCCUAUGUGCUGACUCAGCCACCCUCAGUGUCCGUGUCCCCACAACAGACAGCCAGAAUCACCUGUGAAGGAAACAACAUUGGAAACAAAAAUGCUUACUGGUACCAACAGAAGCCAGACCAGGCCCCUGUGUUGGUCAUCUAUGAAGAUAACAAGCGGCCCUCAGGGAUCCCUGAGCGAUUCUCCGGCUCCAACUCAGGGAACAUGGCCACUCUGACCAUCAGUGGAGCCCAGACUGGGGAUGAGGCUGACUAUUACUGUCAGGUGUGGGACAGCUACAAGCCUCACAGUGACACGGGCAUAUGGGGAAGACACACAUAA